GCAGAGACAGCAGGCAUCAAGGCGGGAAGACGUGCAUGUCCUCCCAAAGUCUUCUGAUCUCCUCCCGUGCUGGAGUGGCCCAGCCACCCUCUGCCUGUCACCGAAUCCUUUUCAUCAGCUGUGCCCUGACUCCCAGAAGUCCUCUGCAGUAGCUCAGGAGUCUGGCCCAUCAUCCCGGCUGCCGUCCAAGCAGGAGAAGACGGGAUUUCCCUGGCUUCCUGGAUGACUCCCUGAGGCCCCCCAUGCAACGUGUCCCUAACUGGCCUCAGGAUCCUCUUACCCAAACCUAGACCUAGCCUAGACACCUCUCCCCCACCCAGGCAGCCCCACAGCCGGUCCACUUGGCCUCCUGAGUCCCUCGCCCAUCUGCCCCCUCGCAUGGCCCCUGCCUUGGUCCAGCCCUGUCCUCUCUGUGCAGGUCCCAGCCCCCCAGGGUCACCCCCUCCGAUCCCUCACUUGGCAGCCAGAGGAAGUUUCAAAGCCUGACUAUCCCCGUCUCCUGCUCAGAAUCUUUCCAAAGCGUCCUCGAGAAAAGUCCAGCUUCCUGACCACAGCGAGUCAGUGUGAUCUGGUGCCUGCCUCCUUCUGUGGCCUCAUGUUGCUCCACCC